rnacentral:rRNA from 1 species
CGAAAGCCUGACGGAGCAAUACCGCGUGAGGGAGGAAGGCUUUUGGGUUGUAAACCUCUUUUCUCAGGGAAUAAAAAAAUGAAGGUACCUGAGGAAUAAGCAUCGGCUAACUCCGUGCCAGCAGCCGCGGUAAUACGGAGGAUGCAAGCGUUAUCCGGAAUGAUUGGGCGUAAAGGGUCCGCAGGUGGCAAUGUGUGUCUGCUGUCAAAGAAUGAGGCUUAACCUCAUCAAGGCAGUGGAAACUACAUAGCUAGAGUACGGUCGGGGUAGAAGGAAUUCCUGGUGUAGCGGUGAAAUGCGUAGAGAUCAGGAAGAACACCGGUGGCGAAAGCGUUCUGCUAGGCCUGUACUGACACUGAGGGACGAAAGCUAGGGGAGCG